rfam:Glomerella graminicola M1.001 genomic scaffold supercont1.4, whole genome shotgun sequence.
GGUAACUUGGCCGAGCGGUCUAAGGCGCCAGACUCAAGCGUAAGCUUCGUCCUCUUCAGAGGACGUGUAUUCUGGUCUCGCAAGAGGCGUGAGUUCGAAUCUCACAGUUAUCA